CCUACGGGAGGCUGCAGUGGGGAAUAUUGCACAAUGGGGGAAACCCUGAUGCAGCGACGCCGCGUGAGUGAAGAAGUAUUUCGGUAUGUAAAGCUCUAUCAGCAGGGAAGAAAAUGACGGGACCUGAUACAUAAGCCACGGCUAACUACGGCCCAGCAGCCGCGGUAAUACGUAGGGGGCAAGCGUUAUCCGGAUUUACUGGGUGUAAAGGGAGCGGAGACGGCAGCACAAGUCUGGAGUGAAAGGCCUGGGCUUAACCCGGGAACUGCUUUGGAAACUGUGCAGCUAGAGUGCAGGAGAGGUAAGUGGAAUUCCUGGUGUAGCGGUGAAAUGCGUAGAUAUUAGGAGGAACACCAGUGGCGAAGGCGGCUUACUGGACUGUAACUGACGUUGAGGCUCGAAAGCGUGGGGAGCAAACAGGAUUAGAUACCCUUGUAGUC
rnacentral:rRNA from 1 species